UGACCUUAACAUGUGGUGGGGAUCAUGCGAAGAAGGAGCUCUCUAAGAUAACUUUUAGGUGCAACCAAUUGGCCUACUAAUGCCCAGUGGGAAUUUUGUCAACAGCAGAUCCUGAUGCCAUUUAUUCCAAAAGGUCCUGAAAGUCCCUGUAGUUUCAAAAGCAGAUUGUUAUGUAGCAUGUAGAGAUAGCUCUUCAAGAAGCAAUUCUCUACCCUGGUGCUUUAAGGUAAUAUUUUAUUUUGUGAAGAUUGCCUAAUACAUUUUGACCAAAGGUCUUCCUCAGUCUUUUCCUUGGGGGCAAAGAGUCUUCAUGUGUCUUAUUGUAGUACCCCGGUUAAAACAACUUACUCAGGAAUGUAUUUGGACGUAAGUCCAAAGUCCCAUGGUGCACAAAACUCAUUUUCUAGUCCAUUGUAUCUUGGUCCAGGUUUUUCGUCAUCAUGAGAAUAAAUGUGCAGUGCACAGAUAGAUUCAGUUUUAGGAAGAAAAAUAUUUGUUUAAAAAAGGUCCCCUGAAUUUCCAAAUACCGUUCCUUUAAGUUACUGUUAUCUUAGAAGCUUUCAAAGAUAGAAAGAGGGAGAAAUGGGCCCAAUAGAAAAGCUGUCAGUCUUCUCUUUUCAAGGGAGAGAGAGAAAUCUUUUUAAAAAUAGUAUCACAAUGGUUUGUAGCAGUGAAAUAUCUGAUUUCAUUUUUAUAACAUAACAUUUUUAUGUACAGCAAAACGAUUGCUGGUACUAGAUUCAAUCUCAUUCCUCCUUGGCCUCAAAUCAAUACUGUAUACCUUUUGGAAGAUACGUGGAGAAUGUCAUGCUUUUAAAGUGUGAUAGCUUUGCUGAAGCUGCUGAGAGUUUUCGAAUGUUGGAAUAAAUCUGCAACAAUGUAUCUAAGAGAACGUCUUCUUCAUUAUGAUCCCCACCGCCCAUUGAGGUCGUCCAGAGAGGUCUGUCUCCAGUUGCCGCCAGCUCGGCUGGUGGCCACACGGGGACGGGUUUUCUCGGUUGCUGCCCUAAGACUAUGGAAUGCGCUCCCUGCUGAGAUACGAUCCUCCCCAUCUCUGAGAAUUUUUAGAAGGCAUUUGAAAACUCACCUCUUUACCCAAGCUUUUUCUGUUCUUUAAAUUUUAAGGUUUUGAUUCAUGGUUGAUUUUUAAAUUGUUAAAUUGUUUUAAGUUUUGUAUAUAUUUUAACUUGUUUUAUACUCUUGUUAACCGCCCAGAGACGAAAGUUUGGGGUGGUAUACAAAUGUAAUAAAUAAAUAAAUAAUAAACAAUGUAAAUCAGUGGACAAAGGUAGUUCAGGAGAAAGUUCUUAGGCACUUACUGGAUUGUAUUAGAGCAGUUCACUGAUUAAAAAUAUUUAGUUGAUCUAUCAUCUGCAUUUUAAUCAAUUGAUUGUUUACAAAUUAUAAAAAUAUGUAUAUUACCCAAACCACAAUAUAGGUGCCUUUUGCGAGUUAUGACUUACAAUGUAAUAAACAAAACCUACCAUUCAUUGUUAGAAGGAAAGUCCAUCUUGUAUAUUUCAUUUCCUAUUACUGUUCACUCCAGAAGCAAAAAUAGCCUCAAAAAACAAACAACCUGUGUUAAGAGCCCUACUUUAAAUAUUGGCCUCCAAUACUGAAUCAACUAAAGCUAAUUAAUAAUUUAAUUAAAGAUAGCUGUCCUGGUUAAUAUGCCUCCAAAGUUCAUUGCAUAAAUAUCACAUCCACAUAUACCACCAGCAGAGACAUAGAGGCAAAUGUGGGUGACAAAAACUAUCUACAGCACAGAUAAGCUUGAACAUGAAAUAAAAUAUUGAAGAUGCCUGAAAUUUGAGAUAACUAGAAAGGACCCUGAAAGACGUAUAAAUAUUGAAUUGUGAAGUCAAAAGAGAAUUAGACUUUGGUGAAUAUUGUGUAAGGUAAGCCACGCAAGGAACAAACACAAUGGCAUGCUUAGUGACCUACACCUGCACAUAAAAUAUGACACUCUUUUAUAAAACCUGAGCUGCAGUUGCUAACACAUUUGAAAAUUGAGCUUAGGUUAAAUGUACUUCCUUGCUGUGAAGACCAGAGACAGACUUUUUAGCUACAUCCACUACCUGAGUAAGCCCAACAGAGAUGUGAAGAAAUUGCUGGACUGACCGGAGUCAUGGAAGAAGAGUGAGGAUUCACAAGAUCUUCCUGAGUAUCUUGCGGAGCAGCCACAAUAUCCAGCUGAGCCAGGUGGGGCAGUGCCACCUACAGACAUGAUGCUGAUGUGGUAACUUCAAAAGAGGAAACUUCUCCAAAAUGAGGAGUAUGGUGAAAAGAAAGCUGAAAGUGAAAAUCAGGAGAGUCACUUCGCUCCAGAGUGCAUGGUGUUUACUCAAAACCACAAUACUAGAAGCCCAGUUAGAUUGUAUACCCAAAAGGAGGAAAGGCACCACUAAGUCCAGGAGGAUGCAAGCAUGGCUAACAGGUACCGUCAAAGAAGCCAUAAAAGAGAAGAAGACUUCCUUCCAAAAUUGGAAGGCCUGUCCAAAUGAAGAGAACAGAAAGGAACACAAACUCUGGCAAAAGAAAUGCAAGGUGACAAUAAGGGAGGCAAAUAGAGAGUUCGAGGAACUUUUAGCCAAAAGUAUCAAGGGAAAUUACAAAAAUGUCUUUAAAUACAUCAGAAGCAGGAAACUUGCCAGGGAGGCGGUUGGACCAUUAGACAAUGAGGGAGUGAAAGCUAUUAUUAAGGAGGAUAUGGAAGUUGCAGAGAAGCUAAAUGAGUUCUUUGCGUCCAUCUUCACGGCAGAGGAUACUGAGCAUAUACCUGUUCCUGAACCAGGCUUUUUAGGGAUGGAAGCUAAAGAAUUGAGUCAGAUAGAAGUGACAAGAGAUGAUGUUCUAAACAGUCUGAAAAAACUGAAAACUAACAAAUUGCCAGGGCUGGAUGGCAUCCAUCCAAGAGUCCUCAAAAAACUCAAAUGUGAAUUUGCCGACCUCCUUGCUAAAAUAUAUAACUUCUCUGUGAAAUCGGGCUCUGUACCAGAGGACUGAAGAGUAGCAAAUGUAUCACUGAUUUUCAAAAAAGGAUCCAGGGGUGAUCUGGGAAAUAACAGGCCGGUUAGCUUAACGUCCACUCCAGGCAAAUUGAUGGAAAGCAUCCUCAAGGAUAAAAUUUUAAAGCACAUAGAAGAACAGGCCCUGCUGGGAGAGAACCAGCAUGGCCUUCGCAAAGGCAAAUCUUGCCUCACCAACAUUUUGGAGUUCUUUGAGAGUGUCAACAAGUGUGUGGAUCAAGGUAAUCCAGUUGACAUAGUAUACCUGGAUUUCCAAAAAGCUUUUGACAAAGUUCAUCAACAAAGUCUCUUGAGGAAACUUAGCGGUCAUGGGAAAUAAGAAGUGGGGUCCCCCAGGGAUCUGUACUGGGACCAGUGCUUUUUAAUUUAGGAACAUAGGAAACUGCCAUAU